rnacentral:rRNA from 1 species
UACGGAGGGUGCAAGCGUUAGUCGGAAUUACUGGGCGUAAAGGGUGCGUAGGCGGGGAUGUAAGUCAGAUGUGAAAUACCGAAGCUCAACUUCGGAUGGGCAUCUGAAACUGCAUUUCUAGAGGGGAAGCGGAGAAAACGGAAUUCCACGUGUAGCGGUGAAAUGCGUAGAUAUGUGGAGGAACACCUGUGGCGAAAGCGGUUUUCUAGCUUAUACCUGACGCUGAGGCACGAAAGCAAGGGGAGCAAACAGG